rnacentral:rRNA from 1 species
GAUGAACUCUAGCUACAGGCUUAACACAUGCAAGUCGAGGGGAAACGACAUCGAAAGCUUGCUUUUGAUGGGCGUCGACCGGCGCACGGGUGAGUAACGCGUAUCCAACCUGCCCAUCACUUGGGAAUAACCUUGCGAAAGUAAGACUAAUACCCAAUGACAUCCCACGAAGACAUCUGAAUGGGAUUAAAGAUUUAUCGGUGAUGGAUGGGGAUGCGUCUGAUUAGCUUGUUGGCGGGGUAACGGCCCACCAAGGCAACGAUCAGUAGGGGUUCUGAGAGGAAGGUCCCCCACAUUGGAACUGAGACACGGUCCAAACUCCUACGGGGGGCAGCAGUGAGGAAUAUUGGUCAAUGGGCGAGAGCCUGAACCAGCCAAGUAGCGUGCAGGAUGACGGCCCUAUGGGUUGUAAACUGCUUUUAUAAGGGAAUAAAGUGGGUCUCGUGAGACUUUUUGCAUGUACCUUAUGAAUAAGGACCGGCUAAUUCCGUG